AGAGUUUGAUCCUGGCUCAGAGCGAACGCUGGCGGCGUGCUUAACACAUGCAAGUCGAACGAGUGUAGCAAUACAUUCGUGGCGAACGGGUGCGUAACACGUGGAUAACCUUCCUUCAGGUGGGGAAUAACCCAGUGAAAAUUGGGCUAAUACCGCAUAACGAAACGAGGACGCAUGUUCUUGUUUCCAAAGCCGCAAGG
rnacentral:rRNA from 1 species